AAUAUUGGACAAUGGGCGAAAGCCUGAUCCAGCAAUGCCGCGUGAGUGAUGAAGGCCUUAGGGUUGUAAAGCUCUUUUACUAGGGAUGAUAAUGACAGUACCUGGAGAAUAAGCUCCGGCUAACUCUGUGCCAGCAGCCGCGGUAAUACGGAGGGAGCUAGCGUUGUUCGGAAAUACUGGGCGUAAAGCGCACGUAGGCGGCAUCGUAAGUCAGGGGUGAAAUCCCGGGGCUCAACCCCGGAACUGCCCUUGAAACUGCAGUGCUAGAAUCUUGGAGAGGCGAGUGGAAUUCCGAGUGUAGAGGUGAAAUUCGUAGAUAUUCGGAAGAACACCAGUGGCGAAGGCGACUCGCUGGACAAGUAUUGACGCUGAGGUGCGAAAGCGUGGGGAGCAAACA
rnacentral:rRNA from 1 species